UUAGCUCGGUAAUUAGCUAUUCAUGCAUAAAAAACUUGUAUUUGCAUAUCUGGUUAUCGAGGGGUAGCAAAAUUACCUUUUAGUCCAAGCCAAGUGAGAGAGAGUUGCUAGAGGUCAGAUUUGGGGUAGUGUAGUCAUAGCUUGUGUCAGUUAGCGUGUCAGUUGGUGUCAGAUUCAGAUUGUGUGCAAGAUACAUUUGGAUGAGAUUUGGUUCAUUCCUUCCUUGUUCACUGUGUUCUGGAUUUUUCAAUCUGAGUCAACUCUGCACUGCGUCACCUUCGUUGCUGGAUCCACCGUCCAUCACAUCGCUUCACUCUGUGGGUGUUAUGCUUUGGAUUGGAGUUGGCGGCUUUCACCGUCGCGACUACCAUUCCUCUUCAAAAGCUUGCUGACACAACAAUGGUCAACUUUGGCUCUUUUGCAUAUCUUAUCCCUCAGUUUUUCAUAGUUUUGUUUCUCGAAUUAAUUCCUGAUGUUUUGAUUGCACAUUUUAGACCACCUCACAAUUGCACAAAUGAUCCCUGAUCUCUGUAUUACUUUUAUUUUGACCCGAAACUUACUAAGUUGUAAAACUAACCUUGCGAAUUCAUCCCAAAUUUUUGAA